AUUGAACGCUGGCGGCAGGCCUAACACAUGCAAGUCGAGCGCCCCGCAAGGGGAGCGGCGGACGGGUGAGUAACGCGUGGGAACGUACCCUUUGCUACGGAAUAGCCUCGGGAAACUGGGAGUAAUACCGUAUGUGCCCUUCGGGGGAAAGAUUUAUCGGCAAAGGAUCGGCCCGCGUUGGAUUAGGUAGUUGGUGGGGUAAUGGCCUACCAAGGCGACGAUCAAUAGCUGGCGUGAGAGCGCGACCAGCCACACUGGAACUGAGACACGGCCCAGACUCCUACGGGAGGCAGCAGUGGGGAAUCUUAGACAAUGGGCGCAAGCCUGAUCUAGCCAUGCCGCGUGAGCGAUGAAGGCCUUAGGGUUGUAAAGCUCUUUCAGUGGGGAAGAUAAUGACUGUACCCACAGAAGAAGCCCCGGCUAACUCCGUGCCAGCAGCCGCGGUAAUGUACAGUGU
rnacentral:rRNA from 1 species